rnacentral:rRNA from 1 species
UACGGAGGGUGCGAGCGUUGUCCGGAAUCACUGGGCGUAAAGGGCGCGUAGGCGGCGCGGAUAGUCGGCGGUGAAAGCCCGGAGCUCAACUCCGGGUCGGCCGUCGAUACUUCCGGGCUUGAGCACUGUAGAGGCAGAUGGAAUUCCGGGUGUAGCGGUGGAAUGCGUAGAGAUCCGGAAGAACACCGGUGGCGAAGGCGGGUCUCUGGGCCGAUACUGACGCUGAGGAGCGAAAGCGUGGGGAGCGAACAGG